rnacentral:rRNA from 1 species
UACAGAGGGUGCGAGCGUUAAUCGGAAUUACUGGGCGUAAAGCGCACGUAGGCGGCUUGGUAUGUCGGGUGUGAAAUCCCCGGGCUCAACCUGGGAACUGCAUCCGAAACUGCCUUGCUAGAGUAUGGGAGAGGGAAGUGGAAUUUCCGGUGUAGCGGUGAAAUGCAUAGAUAUCGGAAGGAACAUCAGUGGCGAAGGCGACUUCCUGGACCAAUACUGACGCUCAGGUGCGAAAGCGUGGGGAGCAAACAGG